rnacentral:rRNA from 1 species
CGUAGGGCGCAAGCGUUGUCCGGAAUUAUUGGGCGUAAAGAGCUCGUAGGCGGUUUGUCGCGUCUGCUGUGAAAACCCGAGGCUCAACCUCGGGCCUGCAGUGGGUACGGGCAGACUAGAGUGUGGUAGGGGAGACUGGAAUUCCUGGUGUAGCGGUGGAAUGCGCAGAUAUCAGGAGGAACACCAAUGGCGAAGGCAGGUCUCUGGGCCACAACUGACGCUGAGGAGCGAAAGCGUGGGAGCGAACAGGAUU